rnacentral:lncRNA from 1 species
UCAUCUUCAUUUUAUCCUAAUCACAAUUCACCGGUAGGAAGAAAACAACCAUCCCAGAUAAAAUCCACACAAAAUAACACUUUCCAGAAGCAAUUCAGAAAACCCAGUUGAAAGAAACACCUAUUAUCCCCUUACAGCAAUUAAAAACCCAAACAAACAAAGACUGAGAAACAAAACCAAAACACACAAGGGUUAAAGAGUUAGUUAGUUGGUUACCACCACAGCAAAAGCAACAGCUCAAGGCAAAGGGAAGCUACCGACCCAACUUCAAAAUUGAAGAGGUUUAAUGCUUAGCCGUUGCUAUCAUCCUGGUUAUCAUUUUCCAGAAACUUCUGUUUCGUGGAGGAUUGUUGAUCCUUCUCCAUUCCCAUUCUCCGGUAGUUCCAUUCGACCCUUCUUACAGUAAAGUUUUUUUAUAAAAUAAAUCCAAAAGUUUUAACAUAAAAUAGAGAAAACAUCAGAAUUCUCAAGAAAAUGAAUCGAGAUGAAAUAGAGAGAGAAAGAGUCAUAUUAAAAAAAAUAUAAAAAAGUAACAAACCAGGUUUUUGAAAUAACAAAAGAAGCAAGUGUGGCGAAGAAGAAUCUUAGAGAAAGGAGUGGUUGGUAGCAGAAAAUGGAAAACUUGAAGAUAAAGCAGUUGAAAAGAGGAAAAAGUUGAAGCGGAACUUAUCAAUCCACAAAACUAGAAUAUGCGUUAGGGUGCACUCGCUGGAGGGUGCAGGGCGAGGUCGUUGAUGGCGGAGUUGCAAUGGGAAAAGCGUUGGAGUUGCGGUGGACGGAGAGCGCGGUGAGGUGGACGAAGUUGUUGACAUCGAAUAUGGAGAGAGAGCCAGAGGCGUCGAUGGAAAUGAGGGUGCAGGGGAAGGGGAGGAGGUUGGGGGAGCAUAGAAAGAGAGGACGGUGACGAAGGUGGAGUGUUGGUUGAGGAAACCGAGGGAGGACGCG